CUUGUCUACAUAAGAGGUCCAGCCUGCCCAGUGACCCAGUUCAACGGCCGCGGUAUCCUAACCGCGCGAAGGUAGCGUAAUCACUUGUCUUCUAAAUAAAGACUAGUAUGAAAGGCAUCACGAGAACUAAACUGUCUCCCUUUUCUAAUCAGUGAACCUAAUCUCCCCGUGAAGAAGCGGGAAUUUAUUAAUAAGACGAGAAGACCCUAUGGAGCUUUAAACCCAUAACACCUGCCUAUACCUAUCUCAUGCAGGAUGAUUAUAAGUUUUCAGUUGGGGCGACUACGGAGAAAACCCCACCCUCCGUGAUGAAUAUACAACAAGCUACAGCUUUAUGUAUCAGCAAACUGACACUAUUGACCCAAUAUAUUGAUCAACGAAC
rnacentral:rRNA from 1 species